rnacentral:rRNA from 1 species
UACGUAGGGUGCAAGCGUUAUCGGAAUUACUGGGCGUAAAGCGUGCGCAGGCGGUUCGCUAAGACAGAUGUGAAAUCCCCGGGCUUAACCUGGGAACUGCAUUUGUGACUGGCGGGCUAGAGUAUGGCAGAGGGGGGUAGAAUUCCACGUGUAGCAGUGAAAUGCGUAGAGAUGUGGAGGAAUACCGAUGGCGAAGGCAGCCCCCUGGGCCAAUACUGACGCUCAUGCACGAAAGCGUGGGGAGCAAACAGG